rnacentral:lncRNA from 1 species
GAACAAUGUUAGGUUUCAUUGCCAAAAUACCAGUGAGAUGGAGUAGACUAAUAACCGUAAGCCACAUUUAUGUCUCUAUGAUCUUCCAGCAUUUGAGUCAAUGAGGAGAAGUUUGUCUUUGCCAUGUUGCUCUCAGGUUAUUCUGUUAAAAUUUGACAGCCUUGCUAUCUUAAAACAGUCUAGUCCUCUGGAGUGGGCCAGCCCAUCUCUGGGAUUUCUACUUUACAAACAGAGCAGAGGAGAGUGGAUUACAACCUGAAGCCUCACGUGGCCUAAUAAAGCCAGGGGAUCUGUUCGGAAUGUAGAUGGUGCAGACGCUUUCAGCCUGACUACUGCCCUUUCUCCAAGGUGGAAAAGCUCCUGCGGGACCUGCCUCCCACCUAAUCUGCAGCUCCGUUCCUGCAUCUCCUCCACCCUCACCGUGCUCCCGGCACACUGGUCUCCACGAUGUCCUUUCAAAGAUGGGGAAACUGAGUCCUGGGGAUCUUUGUCCCAAAUCUCACGGUUACUGAACGGCUACGUUGGAACUAGAUGCAAGGUCUUGCAAUUUUCUCUAAAUUUUCUACAUGGCCACCUCAAAAAGAAAGCAUGCUGCACCUUUCAUUUUCUGGUGCAAAGCAGAAGAAAUGCGGAAGGAAGAGAAGGAGAAAGAAUCAAGUAAGUCCUGCUCCUUACUGAAACUGCCAGGUGCCCUGCUGGAAUCCUCCUUGGGAGAGCAGCCCCAAGUUCGCUGAGGAGGUGGCAGUGGAAGAGGAGCUGGAAAACAGCCUCGGGUGCUUGGGUUCCGAAGCCCAGACAGAGUCUAAUCCAGAAGGAACCACUGGCCUCUGGAAUCGCAACUUAACCCCUUCAUAGCUUAAAGACAGACAAGAUCAGAAAGGCAGGCCUCUGGAAAGAAAUGAAGAUCACCUGAAAGUGUAAAUAAGUGAAUAAACAUGAAAGACAAUUUUUAUCAAUGUUUAAUUUAUGUAAAAGGUGAUUGAAUGUUUAAAGCAAAAAUAAUAGCAAUGUGCUUAUAUGUUAUAAGCAAAGGGCUUAUAACAUAUGUAGAAGUGAAAUAUAUGACAUCCUAGCACAAAAGAUAGGGG